UUCUUCUUGACCUGCUGUGAAGAGUUUGGCUCCAUCUUCUCCAAAACCUGCACAGAGGGUUUAGUUCUUCCUACGUUAUCUUUUCUCCAGGCUAAAUAGCAACACUGGAAGAAGAAAAGGAAAAGAGAAAACAGGAACAACACAGACCCAAAAUAACCCUUGCCGUUAGCAUCACAGAGUCCUAAGUCAGGAAAACUACUACUGAGCCUGUUGUCAGUAAGAUAAAAGCAUCCUACUACAGGAAUGGAAGCGAUGACACAAAGGAUUAUGACUACUGGAUAUGAAAAAAGAGCAGAGUGGAAGUUACUCUUUCUACAGAAGUGCUUAAUAAACAUUAAG